rnacentral:rRNA from 1 species
CGAAUGCUGACAUAAGUAACGAUAAAGCGGGUGAAAAGCCCGCUCGCCGGAAGACCAAGGGUUCCUGUCCAACGUUAAUCGGGGCAGGGUGAGUCGACCCCUAAGGCGAGGCCGAAAGGCGUAGUCGAUGGGAAACAGGUUAAUAUUCCUGUACUUGGUGUUACUGCGAAGGGGGGACGGAGAAGGCUAUGUUGGCCGGGCGACGGUUGUCCCGGUUUAAGCGUGUAGGCUGGUUUUCCAGGCAAAUCCGGAAAAUCAAGGCUGAGGCGUGAUGACGAGGCACUACGGUGCUGAAGCAACAAAUGCCCUGCUUCCAGGAAAAGCCUCUAAGCAUCAGGUAACAUCAAAUCGUACCCCAAACCGACACAGGUGGUCAGGUAGAGAAUACCAAGGCGCUUGAGAGAACUCGGGUGAAGGAACUAGGCAAAAUGGUGCCGUAACUUCGGGAGAAGGCACGCUGAUAUGUAGGUGAAGCGACUUGCUCGUGGAGCUGAAAUCAGUCGAAGAUACCAGCUGGCUGCAACUGUUUAUUAAAAACACAGCACUGUGCAAACACGAAAGUGGACGUAUACGGUGUGACGCCUGCCCGGUGCCGGAAGGUUAAUUGAUGGGGUUAGCGGUAACGCGAAGCUCUUGAUCGAAGCCCCGGUAAACGGCGGCCGUAACUAUAACGGUCCUAAGGUAGCGAAAUUCCUUGUCGGGUAAGUUCCGACCUGCACGAAUGGCGUAAUGAUGGCCAGGCUGUCUCCACCCGAGACUCAGUGAAAUUGAACUCGCUGUGAAGAUGCAGUGUACCCGCGGCAAGACGGAAAGACCCCGUGAACCUUUACUAUAGCUUGACACUGAACAUUGAGCCUUGAUGUGUAGGAUAGGUGGGAGGCUUUGAAGUGUGGACGCCAGUCUGCAUGGAGCCGACCUUGAAAUACCACCCUUUAAUGUUUGAUGUUCUAACGUUGGCCCCUGAUCGGGGUUGCGGACAGUGUCUGGUGGGUAGUUUGACUGGGGCGGUCUCCUCCUAAAGAGUAACGGAGGAGCACGAAGGUUGGCUAAUCCUGGUCGGACAUCAGGAGGUUAGUGCAAUGGCAUAAGCCAGCUUGACUGCGAGCGUGACGGCGCGAGCAGGUGCGAAAGCAGGUCAUAGUGAUCCGGUGGUUCUGAAUGGAAGGGCCAUCGCUCAACGGAUAAAAGGUACUCCGGGGAUAACAGGCUGAUACCGCCCAAGAGUUCAUAUCGACGGCGGUGUUUGGCACCUCGAUGUCGGCUCAUCACAUCCUGGGGCUGAAGUAGGUCCCAAGGGUAUGGCUGUUCGCCAUUUAAAGUGGUACGCGAGCUGGGUUUAGAACGUCGUGAGACAGUUCGGUCCCUAUCUGCCGUGGGCGCUGGAGAACUGAGGGGGGCUGCUCCUAGUACGAGAGGACCGGAGUGGACGCAUCACUGGUGUUCGGGUUGUCAUGCCAAUGGCACUGCCCGGUAGCUAAAUGCGGAAGAGAUAAGUGCUGAAAGCAUCUAAGCACGAAACUUGCCCCGAGAUGAGUUCUCCCUGAGACUUUAAGUCUCCUG